rnacentral:rRNA from 1 species
GAUCUUGCGACAAUGGGCGAAAGCCUGACGCAGCAACGCCGCGUGAAGGAAGAAGGCUUUCGGGUUGUAAACUUCUUUGAUCGGGGACGAAAAUGACGGUACCCGAGGAACAAGCCACGGCUAACUACGUGCCAGCAGCCGCGGUAAUACGUAGGUGGCAAGCGUUGUCCGGAAUUACUGGGUGUAAAGGGAGCGUAGGCGGGAAGACAAGUUGAAUGUUUAAACUAUCGGCUUAACCGGUAGUCGCGUUCAAAACUGUUUUUCUUGAGUGAAGUAGAGGCAGGCGGAAUUCCUAGUGUAGCGGUGAAAUGCGUAGAUAUUAGGAGGAACACCAGUGGCGAAGGCGGCCUGCUGGGCUUUAACUGACGCUGAGGCUCGAAAGCGUGGGUAGCAAACAGG